UACGAAGGGGGCUAGCGUUGUUCGGAAUCACUGGGCGUAAAGCGCACUUAGGCGGAUCUUUAAGUCAGAGGUGAAAUCCCAAGGCUCAACCUUGGAACUGCCUUUGAUACUGGGGAUCUUGAGUCCGGGAGAGGUGAGUGGAACUGCGAGUGUAGAGGUGAAAUUCGUAGAUAUUCGCAAGAACACCAGUGGCGAAGGCGGCUCACUGGCCCGGUACUGACGCUGAGGUGCGAAAGCGUGGGGAGCAAACAGG
rnacentral:rRNA from 1 species